AAAGGAGAUGAGCGAGGCCCUGAGCUCUACUCAAAGUUGAUUGCUCUGUUGAUUGCGAAGAGGUAUCUAUAGAUCAGGAUCUUGAACAGAGACUGGUGUACCAGCUGAAGCUGUACAAACUAAAUCGUAUAUUCCCCAACUACAGAUAAAACAAACGGCCAAUUUUAGCCUAAUCAUCACUUCUGCCAAAGGAAAGAGAAACUCUUUGAGGAAAAAGGCUACACUUCAUGUUACAUGACACAAGAAAAUUCAGGAUACUAAGUUAAAAAAGAGCUCAAUACAUCAAGUAGCUUCAGAAAGAUGCUAAUAUUCAGUGUGUCCCUGCUUGGACUGUGAAGAUACUAACUCCUGGAGGGACAAUGCUGCUGGAGACUGCUUCCGAGAGGCAUCCAGAUUUGGUUUUGAGGGCUUCAGAGAAGUGUUCACAUAAUUCUACUUCCUGUUGUUAGUGGAUUGUUUUUUAUACCUUGGAAAAGUCUUGGAAUUAAUGUGUGCACAUGAAGUCUACAUCUUGCUCAGGGAUCUCUAAUACACAGUAUUUUUUGCCUUCUACAUUUUCCACAAGGUCAAAUACUAAUCGUAUAUAUACACUUAAUUAUUUCCUGAUUUCUGCUAAUAUCCUUUAAUAUCUGCAAUAAAGAUUCCCACAAGUAAUCUA